UGCGUCUUCGUUUCUUGACAGUAUUUGCGGCAUUUCUUUUUUGUUUUCUCCUUAUAGCAUUUUUCACAAGAACAGACACUUAGGAUUUAUAUGUAUUGCACUUUUUGUGUUGUCAAUUUUAGUAGGGUUAGGGUUUCUUGAUUUGUUCUUUUCCUAUUUAUAUAUGGAAUUCUCUACGGAAGAGAAAAAGAAAAAGAAAUCAAAGAUUCAAGAAGC
rnacentral:lncRNA from 1 species